CCCCCGCGACCCGACCCCGGAUAAGCGGAAGAAGACGGACGGAUGUGUGUGUGUGUGUGUGUGUGAGGGUUUUGUGGUGUUCUGCUCUGGUUGCUUCCACAGGUAGUGGCUGAGGGGGCGUGCCCCCACACCUGCAGCUCAUCAGUGGCAGCUUUCUCUGGCUACUUAAGCGGCGCGCAGACAGAUGGAAGAUGCCAGAGCCUUAAACCAGUCGUGAUUUUGUGUGCAUGGAAGCACUUACCUGUCCUGACGUCCCGAGAAGAUUUCGAACCAGUGGAAUCAAUUACUCAGAUCCUGCUCUGGCGCUCCCCCUCUUACUCCCUUGGCGUUACCAAGACGGGCUUGAGGUUCCCUUCCCAGAUUCCACUGGCACUCCCAAGACUCCUGGACUCUGGUCAAUCUGUUUGUCAUUCACGCCUGCUGAGGUUUGCUUCGGGUCUCUCGCCAGCUACAUCAGCCGCCCUCCAGCCACUACCACCAACUAGAGUAGGCACUCGGUUCCCUUGGCAUCAACCCUUCACCGGUUAGGUCUCCCCUGCUUCAUGUCAACCCCGCCUCGAUGUUCAGGCCUCGUUCCGGCAACUAGUUGUCGUGUUUUUGUUUUCUGCACUUUCCUUAAUAAACACCUUAAACGGUA